rnacentral:rRNA from 1 species
GAUGAACGCUAGCGGCAGGCCUAAUACAUGCAAGUCGAACGGGAUCUGAGGGUAGCUUGCUACCCGAUUUGAGAGUGGCGCACGGGUGCGUAACGCGUGAGCAACCUACCCAUAUCAGGGGAAUAACCUUUCGAAAGUAAGACUAAUACCCUAUGAUUUCCUUUGAUGACAUCAGAUUAGGAAUAAAAAUUUAUCGGUUAUAGAUGGGGAUGCGUCUGAUUAGCUUGUUGGCGGGGUAAAGGCCCACCAAGGCAACGAUCAGUAGGGGUUCUGAGAGGAAGGUCCCCCACAUUGGAACUGGGACACGGUCAAAACUCCUGCGGGAGGCAGCAGUGAGGAAUAUUGGUCAAUGGGCGGAAGCCUGAACCAGCCAAGUAGCGUGCAGGAUGACGGCCCUAUGGGUUGUAAACUGCUUUUAUACAGGAAUAAAGUUAGCCACGUGUGGUUAUCUGUAGGUACUGUAUGAAUAAGGACCGGCUAAUUCCGUGCCAGCCGCCGCAGUAA